rnacentral:rRNA from 1 species
AGAGUUUGAUCCUGGCUAGGAUGAACGCUGGCGGCGUGUUUAAGGCAUGCAAGUCGAAUGGGUUUAGACCCAUGGCAAACGGGUGAGUAACACAUUGGUAACCUACCCCUGAUUCGUGAAUAACUCGGAGAAAUCUGGGAUAAUACACGAUAGUCUCCGAUCACAUCAGUGCAUCGGAGUAAAGAUUUAUCGAUCAGGGAGGGGCCUAUGGCCUAUCAGCUUGUUGGUAGUGUAAAAGACUACCAAGGCUCUGACGGGUAGCGGGUGUGAGAGCAUGACCCGCCUCACGGGGACUGAGACACUGCCCUGACUCCUACGGGAGGCUGCAGUCAAGAAUCUUCCACAAUGGCCGAAAGGCUGAUGGAGCGACGCCGCGUGACCGAAGAAGCCCCUUGGGGUGUAAAGGUCCUUUCUGAGGGACGAAUCAAUGACGGUACCUCAGGAAUAAGGGGCUGCUAAUCACGUGCCAGCAGCAGCGGUAAUACGUGAGCCCCAAGCGUUAUCCGGAUUUAUUGGGCGUAAAGAGUCUGUAGGCGGCUUGGUGCGUUCUUUGUUAAAACUCUGGGCUUAACCCAGAGAUCACAAAGAAUACGGCCUCGCUAGAGACCGGAAGAGGCAGAUGGAACUGCCGGUGUAACGGUAAAAUGUGUUGAUAUCGGCAAGAACACCAAAUGCGAAGGCAUUCUGCUGGGACGGAUCUGACGCUGAGAGACGAAAGCGUGGGGAGAGAACGGGAUUAGAUACCCCGGUAUUCCACGCCGUAAACGAUGGUCACUGGACAUUGGCAGUAUCGACCCUGUCAGUGUCGUUUACCUAAGAUAACUCGUUAAGUGACCCGCCUGGGGAGUACGAGCGCAAGCUUAAAACUCAAAGGAAUUGACGGGUACCCGCACAAGCGGUGGAGCAUGUGGUUUAAUUCGACAAUAAGCGAGGAACCUUACCAGGGCUUGACAUCCUCGGAAUUUUUGGGAAACCAAGAAGUGCCCGCAAGGGAGCCGAGUGACAGGUGCUGCAUGGUUGUCGUCAGCUCGUGUCGUGAGAUGUACGGUUAAGUCCGGUAACGAGCGCAACCCCUAUACUGUGUUAAAUUGUUCACAGUAAACUGUCCAUGUAUAAUGGGAGGAAGGUGGGGAUGACGUCAAAUCAGCAUGGCUCUUACGCCCUGGGCGACACACGUGCUACAAUGGCCAAUACAAUGGGUUGCCAACCCGAAAGGGGGAGCUAAUCCCACCAAAAUUGGUCUCAGUUCGGAUUGAAGUCUGCAACUCGACUUCAUGAAGCUGGAAUCGCUAGUAACCGCAUAUCAGCCAUGGUGCGGUGAAUACGUUCUCGGGUUUUGUACACACCGCCCGUCACAUCAAGGGAGUCGGUAGUACCUGAAGUCUCUAUUUAUUAGGGCCCAAGGUAAGAUCGGCAACAGGGAUGAAGUCGUAACAAGGCA